rnacentral:rRNA from 1 species
UUCCGGUUGAUCCUGCCGGACCCGACUGCUAUCAGAGUGGGACUAAGCCAUGCGAGUCGACGUAGCAAUGCGUGGCGAACGGCUCAGUAACACGUAGUCAACAUGCCCAGGGGACGUGGAUAACCUCGGGAAACUGAGAAUAAACCACGAUAGGUCACGAUUUCUGGAAUGGAUCAUGGCCUAAAUCCACAUGGCCCCUGGAUUGGACUGCGGCCGAUCAGGCUGUUGGUGAGGUAAUGGCCCACCAAACCUAUAACCGGUACGGGCUCUGAGAGGAGAAGCCCGGAGAUGGGCACUGAGACAAGGGCCCAGGCCCUAUGGGGCGCAGCAGGCGCGAAACCUCUGCAAUAGGCGAAAGCCUGACAGGGUUACUCUGAGUGAUUUCCGCUAAGGGGAUCUUUUGGCACCUCUAAAAAUGGUGCAGAAUAAGGGGUGGGCAAGUCUGGUGUCAGCCGCCGCGGUAAUACCAGCACCCCGAGUGGUCGGGACGAUUAUUGGGCCUAAAGCAUCCGUAGCCGGUUCUGCAAGUCUUCCGUUAAAUCCAGCCGCUCAACGGAUGGGCCGCGGAGGAUACUACAGGACUAGGAGGCGGGAGAGGCAAGCGGUACUCAGUGGGUAGGGGUAAAAUCCUUUGAUCCAUUGAAGACCACCAGUGGCGAAGGCGGCUUGCCAGAACGCGCUCGACGGUGAGGGAUGAAAGCUGGGGGAGCAAACCGGAUUAGAUACCCGGGUAGUCCCAG